rnacentral:rRNA from 1 species
UGGGGAAUAUUGGACAAUGGGGGGAACCCUGAUCCAGCCAUGCCGCGUGUGUGAAGAAGGCCUUAUGGUUGUAAAGCACUUUAAGCGAGGAGGAGGGUACUGGUAUUAAUACUACCAGGUACUGGACGUUACUCGCAGAAUAAACACCGGCUAACUCUGUGCCAGCAGCCGCGGUAAUACAGAGGGUGCGAGCGUUAAUCGGAUUUACUGGGCGUAAAGCGUGCGUAGGCGGCUAAUUGAGUCGGAUGUGAAAUCCCCGAGCUUAACUUGGGAAUUGCAUUCGAUACUGGUUAGCUAGAGUGUGGGAGAGGAUGGUAGAAUUCCAGGUGUAGCGGUGAAAUGCGUAGAGAUCUGGAGGAAUACCGAUGGCGAAGGCAGCCAUCUGGCCUAACACUGACGCUGAGGUACGAAAGCAUGGGGAGCAAACAGG